rnacentral:piRNA from 1 species
UAAUAGAGCAUUUGUGUCUUCUGAAUGUU